rnacentral:tRNA from 1 species
ACUAAGGUAGUUUAGAAAAACACCAGCCUGUGGCACUGGAGACGCCAGUUAAACUCUGGCCCUAAGUC